rnacentral:misc_RNA from 1 species
GUGAAUCAUCAAAUUUUUGAACGCAAAUUGCACUCUCCGGUUUUCCGGGAGAGUAUGCUUGUUUGAGGGUAGGACUUAUUAAAAUCGGCUUAGUAGUUUGCUGUGUUUGUCAUGGUAACGUUGGCCGGCAUUUGGGUCAUCUUAAACCGAUAGGGUUUUAAGCGACUUAAAGUUUUCUUACGUUCUCGCGAACGUUUCUACGAUUUUCUUGCACGUUCUAGGUGUCGAUAUUAGUCG